rnacentral:rRNA from 1 species
UUCCAGACUCCUACGGGAGGCAGCAGUGGGGGAUAUUGCACAAUGGGGGAAACCCUGAUGCAGCGACGCCGCGUGGGUGAAGAAGCGCCUCGGCGCGUAAAGCCCUAUCGGCAGGGAAGAAAAGCGAACAGGUUCGCCUGGACGGUACCUAACUAAGAAGCCCCGGCUAACUACGUGCCAGCAGCCGCGGUAAUACGUAGGGGGCAAGCGUUAUCCGGAUUCACUGGGUGUAAAGGGAGCGUAGACGGCGACGCAAGUCUGGAGUGAAAGCCCGGGGCCCAACCCCGGGACUGCUCUGGAAACUGCGUCGCUGGAGUACGGGAGGGGCAGGCGGAAUUCCUGGUGUAGCGGUGAAAUGCGUAGAUAUCAGGAGGAACACCGGCGGCGAAGGCGGCCUGCUGGACCGUGACUGACGUUGAGGCUCGAGAGCGUGGGGAGCAAACAGGAUUAGAUACCCCCGUAA